rnacentral:lncRNA from 1 species
UCCACUUCAUAGGUUCAUUUUUCAAAAGUCACUUAUAUAUUUACUUUUAUAAUCCAAACAACUGAAAUAAUCCCACUUCGUCAAAAUUCCACUUUUAUUGUUUCACUUACAGGCAACCAAACAUGCCCUAAUGACGGUCGGUAUUUGGAUAUGGAUUUUUAAAAUUGGCCGAAUUCAUAUUCGAAUUCAAGUUUUGAAUUUGGUAGUCGAGUUCGGAUUUUUAAAAACCCGCCCCAAAUCUGAGCAGUCGACAUCCCAAUGUUAAUGUUAGAAGUCAUAUAUAAAAUACUCCUAAGUGUUCAUUUUGUUUUCCAUAAUUAAAUACUCUAAAGGCUUAUUUAGUUCACCUAUUUUAGACUAUAGAAUCGAAAUGGAUUUGUCGAUUCCGAUAGUUAUUGUUUAUUUUACAGGAAUUGGAUUCCGAUUCCUAUCCCACUUUGUAAUGAAAAUGACAAAAUAUAUUUAUGACCCAAUCUGGCCAUAAAUCCCGAAUUGACCCAUUCCGAAGUAUAUUAUCCAAAAUCCUCUCAUAUAAAUACCUCCCUCCUCUUCCUUCAUUUCUCUUAAUCAAAACCUCCUCUCAAACUCAUAAGACUCGUUCCAAUUUUUAUUCUAAUAAUGAAUCAAAUAUUUUUAGAUGAUUUGCCAUUUUAUUUUUUAUUCAUGUUCCAAUCAUGGACCAAAUAUAUCCUAA